rnacentral:rRNA from 1 species
GGGGGAUACGUUCSGAAACGGACGCUAAUACCGCAUACGUCCUACGGGAGAAAGCGGGGGACCUUCGGGCCUUGCGCUAUYAGAUGAGCCUAGGUCGGAUUAGCUAGUUGGUGAGGUAAUGGCUCACCAAGGCKACGAUCCGUAACUGGUCUGAGAGGAUGAUCAGUCACACUGGAACUGAGACACGGUCCAGACUCCUACGGGAGGCAGCAGUGGGGAAUAUUGGACAAUGGGCGAAAGCCUGAUCCAGCCAUGCCGCGUGUGUGAAGAAGGUCUUCGGAUUGUAAAGCACUUUAAGUUGGGAGGAAGGGCAGUAACUUAAUACCUUGCUGYUUUGACGUUACCGACAGAAUAAGCACCGGCUAACUCUGUGCCAGCAGCCGCGGUAAUACARAGGGUGCAAGCGUUAAUCGGAAUUACUGGGCGUAAAGCGCGCGUAGGUGGUUKGUUAAGUUGGAUGUGAAAUCCCCGGGCUCAACCUGGGAACUGCAUUCAAAACUGGYGAGCUAGAGUAUGGUAGAGGGUGGUGGAAUUUCCUGUGUAGCGGUGAAAUGCGUAGA